rnacentral:tRNA from 1 species
AUUUAAGUAGCUUAUAAUUAGAGCAUAGUAUUGAAGAUACUAAGGAGACCUAGUAAGGGUUUUUAAAUA